AUGGCUCUGGCCGUAUUCUUACAUUCACUGGUUUAUCUCGUCCAUGAAGAGCAAGGUAUGCCUGUUCCAAAUGAUGUUGGUAAUUUUUCUCAUGAGCAGCACCGAUGCACUUGAAUGGUACAGCAUGGGUGUUGUCACUUUCAUCACUUAACUGGUCACCACUUUCUGCCCUAUCACCUUCAUUACCAUAUCCAUGCUGACCAGGUUCAAGAUCAGCCAACCACUCAAGUAGAUCUCUUAAUUCUACAAAAUCAUAACAAGAAAAUUUUUAUUUUAUUAUUUUGU